rnacentral:rRNA from 1 species
CUCAGGAUGAACGCUAGCUACAGGCUUAACACAUGCAAGUCGAGGGGAAACGAUAUUGGAAGCUUGCUUCCGAUAGGCGUCGACCGGCGCACGGGUGAGUAACGCGUAUCCAACCUGCCCAUCACUUGGGAAUAACCUUGCGAAAGUAAGACUAAUGCCCAAUGACAUUUAUAGAAGGCAUCUGAAAUGAAUUAAAGAUUUAUCGGUGAUGGAUGGGGAUGCGUCUGAUUAGCUUGUUGGCGGGGUAACGGCCCACCAAGGCGACGAUCAGUAGGGGUUCUGAGAGGAAGGUCCCCCACAUUGGAACUGAGACACGGUCCAAACUCCUACGGGAGGCAGCAGUGAGGAAUAUUGGUCAAUGGGCGAGAGCCUGAACCAGCCAAGUAGCGUGCAGGAAGACGGCCCUAUGGGUUGUAAACUGCUUUUAUAGGGGAAUAAAGUGAGCCACGUGUGGCUUUUUGCAUGUACCCUAUGAAUAAGGACCGGCUAAUUCCGUG